CUGGGGGUACCUGGACACACCUGGGACACACCUGAGGUCACCUGGGAGGGGUUUGGGGUCACCUGGACUCACCUGAGCAGCAGCACCUGGCUCAGGUGUGUUUUUGGGGCGGAUUUUUGGGUUUUUUGGGGUUUUUUGGGGUUACCUGGACUCACCUGAGCAGCAGCACCUGGCCCAGGUGUGUUUUUGGGGUGGAUUUUUGGAUUUUUUGGGGUCACCUGAGCAGCAGCACCUGGCCCAGGUGUGUUUUUGGGGUGGAUUUUUGGGUUUUUUGGGAUUUUUGGGUUUUUUGGGGUCACCUGGACUCACCUGAGCAGCAGGGGGGGGGGGGGGGGGGGGGGGGGGGGGGGGGGGGGGGGGGGGGGGGGGGGGGGGGGGGGGGGGGGG
rnacentral:lncRNA from 12 species